UACGGGGGGGGCAAGCGUUGUUCGGAAUUACUGGGCGUAAAGGGCUCGUAGGCGGCCAACUAAGUCGGAUGUGAAAUCCCCAGGCUCAACUUGGGAACUGCAUCCGAUACUGGAUGGCUUGAAUUCGGGAGAGGGAUGCAGAAUUCCAGGUGUAGCGGUGAAAUGCGUAGAUAUCUGGGAGGAAUACCGGUGGCGAAGGCGGCAUCCUGGACCGACAUUGACGCUGAGGAGCGAAAGCUAGGGGAGCAAACGGG
rnacentral:rRNA from 1 species